ACGGGAGGCAGCAGUGGGGAAUAUUGGGCAAUGGGCGCAAGCCUGAACCAGCCAUGCCGCGUGAAGGAAUAAGGCCCUAUGGGUCGUAAACUUCUUUUGACGGGAGCAAUAAGGCGUACGUGUACGCCGAUGAGAGUACUCGUCGAAUAAGCAUCGGCUAACUCCGUGCCAGCAGCCGCGGUAAUACGGAGGAUGCGAGCGUUAUCCGGAUUUAUUGGGUUUAAAGGGUGCGUAGGCGGCCCCUUAAGUCGGCGGUGAAAUUUCCGGGCUCAACCCGGUCACUGCCGUCGAAACUGGGGGGCUUGAGUGCGUUUGGGGUGGCUGGAAUGUGCGGUGUAGCGGUGAAAUGCAUAGAUAUCGCACAGAACGCCGAUCGCGGAGGCAGGUCACCAAGCCGCAACUGACGCUGAGGCACGAAAGCGCGGGGAUCGAACAGGAUUAGAUACCCUGGUA
rnacentral:rRNA from 1 species